UCUGCUCUGGCUUCUCAAACCUCCAGGCGGUCGUGGCAGACGGCCGCUUGUACUGAACCAGGUUCUAAUUCUGCUGGAGGUUUCUUCCUGUUUGGGGAGGUUUUUUAUUCUCACUG